rnacentral:lncRNA from 1 species
GACUGAAGGCCAGCUAACACAUUUCCACCAAUGCCAUUUAACAGUAUGACAAUAAAUGUAAUAAAAUGUAAUGUACCUUCACUAUCUACUGUACUCAAAGCAUAUGAACACAUUAAACAAAGAAUGCUGAUCAGUGGGGGAAAGGCUGGCAUGUUUGUGAAGGAGAAAGUCUUUCAUUAAGGAGCAUCCAUCACCAUCUUAAGUAUGAAGAAGAGACAUUGCAGUGGACCGUGAACUCUUCACAAACUGUUUGUAUUCAGGGUUCAGCAUCACUGUAAAGGCACUGCAGCUAUUCCAUGCCAAACACGAGUCUCACUAGUAUGACAAAACACAUGUGCAGCAAAUUUCUUCCACUCAUGAGACUUUCUCGAAAACACGUUUGUUUACAAAGUUACAUUUUCAAAGCUAUGUGAAUGUCACUGCCCUCUCUUAAAGCCUCUGCAGUCAGGCAUCGAUGCUUUAAUGUUCAAAGGAUUUGAUUCUCUGUCUGUGUCAAGGCAACAAAUGAAACUCAGUGCACAUCAAAUGUUCAUCAUAUCUUUUGUUAUCAACAUGUUGACUUUGUAUGAUGGAAAAUAAGCUAUAUCUGAAAUUAAUAAAGUGAACUGUCACUGGUCAGUGUGUCUUGUUUCAUACUAAAUCAUAUGAUACUCCUGUAAACUUGCCGAGCUCGGCGCACACUACAUCUAUGGAUACAAUGUGUGUGGCACUGACAGACAUGGGGCAACAAUUCAACAUUCGGUAACACCUACUCCUUGUUCCAAAAAUAGAAACCUCUGACAUACUUAACUAGGUUGAAUAUCUCUAAAACCAAAGCUGAUGCUUUUUUACAGUAUUUCUUUUGUUGCACAAGCCCACACGUUAGCAGGAUUCCUCUGCUCUGAAUUUUGAUACAUCCGCAGCUCAAACAGCUGCAUUGUCCUUGUGACCUUUGCUUAUAGGGCUUUUAAUAAUGUGCACGCACAUACUGUAUAUAUAGAAGGGUCACAGAGACAACGUUUGGGCUAUGGAUGCAUCAAAAUUAGUUUUAAAUAAGAUCUGAAAAGAGGAUCUGAUCUGUUAUUCAGCUAAUGUGCGUUCGCCUGGAACAGAAAGAACUUCAAAGAAAAAAAAUAUAUAUAAUUUUUUUAAGGAAACAAAUAAUAAAAUAAACAAAUAAAUUCUGUUGUGUGUAUUUGUUCAUUGUUAAAUCUGAAGUCCACAGUUUUCAGAUGAUGUCCCAG